rnacentral:lncRNA from 1 species
UCUGGUUUAAAGCAAUUUCUUCUGCAUUCUUACCUUUACUGUCUUCGUCUCUCAGGUGGGGGAAAAGGGAUAUAGAAGCAUAUAGUCUAAGCUGGGAGUUAAAAACACUAGGUUAAAAUCCUAGCUUUGCUACUGAAUAGCUGUGUGACCUUAGGCAAUUUACUUAACCUCUCUGAGUCUCUGUAAAAUGGAGGGAAAAAAUGCUUCUCUGGAAGAGUGGUUAAAUACUUGAAAGAGGCAAUGUAACUGUCUUAUGCCUAGAGCAUAGUAGGUGCUUAACAAACAGUAGCUUAUUUCUGGCAUUAUAAUUAGAUGAGGGGAAGGUCCCUCCUAGCACAGACCCUGGAAGAUUCUAUGACUCAGGGAGUGGGCAGAUUGCAUCCAUGGUCCCUGCCCUCAUUUGUAGCUACCUGAAGGGCCUGUCUCAGCAAUAAAAACAGCCAAGUGAGCACAGGCAGAGAAACAUCAUUUCCUCCUCCUCUUGAGGGCAGGAGUCCAGGCGCAGCCCCAGCAGCAGGUAAUGCCCUAAAGCCAGGCCAGAGAAAGAGCAUUGGAUUGGAAUCAGAUAAAACCGGGUUCAAAGCUCAGAGCUCCUACUCAUCAGGAUUUUAAGCUCUGUCCACAUUACUGGAAUGGAAGGAGAUAUGAGUAAUGGAGACUCAUUCCUCUUCACCAACCCCUGGACCACUUCUCUUAGGAGCUCUUUUCUGUUAGGAUGAGUAUAGGCCCUAAAGUGGCCUACCCCACAGACCCUCUGGACAUGCCCUGACAUAAUCAGAUACCAGAAGAAGCACAGUGGGGGCUUUUGACCCACAAUGCUACUGCUCAAAGCAACUUGGAAUGAGAGGAAGUGGGUUCUUUAUGAAGAGGACCGUCCUUCCCCCAAAUCAAAAUGCCAGAAAUCAUACCACUUCCAGCCUUGACAAAGCAGCUGGCUUUGGGUUAGCCUCCCUGCUUUAAAAAAGUAUAAAACUAAACAAAAUUUAUGCUUCUAGUCACUGGGUAGUAAGCAGCCCAAGACUGUGAUCCUGGAGUGUGGGAAACUCAUGAAGUAAGACCCACAUCAGUGUGGUAUUGGCUGGGACAAUCUUUGGAUCACGGUGCAGAGAGUUGGAGCCUGGGUAGGAAGUAGCAGUGCUACUGAUCUGAUGAGGCAGAGAUCAGAGAUCAGGACUGCUGAAGUGGCUGGAAGCUAUAAGGCAGGGCACUGGAAAGGAGGGAGCUGAACAGAGAAAUCUCAGUAAGUCUCUGUAGGGAUUCUAAAGGAUUCCUUGGCUGAGGGAUGCACAUGUGCAGAGCAAAAUUAUGCAAGACUUACCAGUGAGUCACUGUCAUGGGCUGACAGAAGAUAAUACUGCAGGUUAAUGAGUACUAGGAGAUGUGAGAGUUGUGGUCUACCCACAGUUGAGAAACCUUGUUAACAUGUUGGUCAUCCAGAUGAGAAACCAGGAAAAAUACUCCUAUGAUGUGGGAAUAUAUUAUAGAGCAAGGUCUUCUCUGGAUCUUCUCUAACAAAGCUUAAAAUCUAGCCUGGCAAAAUCUGCAGAGACAUCAACAUUUGGAGUUUGAGGGGCUUAGGAAAAACCUUGGGGAUUCUAUAGAUCUACUUUAACAAAGCAUAAUGCCAAGACUACACAUGUUAAAGGUGAUUCCUCAGUAACUGAUCCUCCUUAGAGAAUAAAAAUCAACAUUCUUUAGAGUGAAAGAACCCAGAGUCUCUAUAAUGUUCCUUUAUUGAUGUCCAGUAUACACUAAAAAAUCACUAGACAUGCAAAGAGUCAGGAAAAUGUUAACCAUUCAUUGUCAAGAACAAAAGUGAGUUUAUAGAAAUCAAUACCAAGAUGAUGGAUAUUAUGAAAAAGAAUAUAAAGC